GCAAGUCGAGGGGUAACAGGGAGUGCUUGCACUCCGCUGACGACCGGCGCACGGGUGCGCACCGCGUAUGGAACCUACCUUCUACAGGGGAAUAGCCUUUGGAAACGAAGAUUCAUGCCCCAUGUUACCUUUUUACGGCAUUGUUAAAAGGGUAAAGGCUUCGGCCGGUAGAAGAUGGCCAUGCGUCCCAUCAGCUUGAUGGUAAGGUAAGGGCUUACCAUGGCUACGACGGGUAGGGGCCCUGAGAGGGGGAUC
rnacentral:rRNA from 1 species